GUCCUUAUAGUAUAACUUAUUACCCUGACCUUGUAAAUCAAAAAUGAACCAAACGGCUCUAAGGACA
rnacentral:tRNA from 1 species